GACGUAGGGCGCGAGCGUUGUCCGGAAUUAUUGGGCGUAAAGAGCUCGUAGGCGGUUCGUCGCGUCGGCUGUGAAAUCCCGAGGCUCAACCUCGGGUCUGCAGUCGAUACGGGCGGACUGGAGUUCGGCAGGGGAGACUGGAAUUCCGUGGUGUAGCGGUGAAAUGCGCCAGAUAAUCAGGAGGAACACCAAAGGCGCAGGCAGGGGUCCUGGGAAGCCACUGACGGCUCAUGGACGAAAAGCUAGGGGAGCGAACGGGGAUUAAGAAACCCU
rnacentral:rRNA from 1 species